UAGAUAUACCGCACUGGUGGGGUAUAGAUCCGAAGCCUCUAGAAGGAUAACAAAGGCUUUCCACGUUGUACUCCUACUCAAUAUGCCCCCGGCGUACAGAGCGGUAACAUGUCUCUCCAAAUAUCUGAGCUUGGGUAUACGGGGAAACCCAACCCCUUGGGAGGAUGAUUGAUAUGGCUAAAUUGAGAGAC
rnacentral:ribozyme from 1 species